GAGGAGUAUUGGUCAAUGGGCGAGAGCCUGAACCAGCCAAGUCGCGUGAAGGAUGACUGUCUUAUGGAUUGUAAACUUCUUUUAUACGGGAAUAACAAGAGUCACGUGUGACUCCCUGCAUGUACCGUAUGAAUAAGCAUCGGCUAACUCCGUGCCAGCAGCCGCGGUAAUACGGAGGAUGCGAGCGUUAUCCGGAUUUAUUGGGUUUAAAGGGUGCGUAGGCGGCCUGUUAAGUCAGCGGUGAAAUCUAGGAGCUUAACUCCUAAAUUGCCGUUGAAACUGGCGGGCUUGAGUGUAGAUGAGGUAGGCGGAAUGCGUGGUGUAGCGGUGGAAUGCAUAGAUAUCACGCAGAACUCCAAUUGCGAAGGCAGCUUACUAAGGUACAACUGACGCUGAAGCACGAAAGCGUGGGUAUCAAACAGGAUUAGAUACCCUGGUAGUCCACGCAGUAAACGAUGAUAACUGGGCGUAUGCGAUAUACAGUAUACUCCUAAGCGAAAGCGUUAAGUUAUCCACCUGGGGAGUACGCCGGCAACGGUG
rnacentral:rRNA from 1 species